rnacentral:rRNA from 1 species
UACGGGGGGGGGCAAGCGUUGUUCGGAAUUACUGGGCGUAAAGGGUUUGUAGGUGGCCCGCUAAGUCACACGUGAAAUCCCUCAGCUUAACUGGGGAACUGCGUGUGAGACUGGCAGGCUCGAGGGCAGGAGAGGAACGCGGAAUUCCAGGUGUAGCGGUGAAAUGCGUAGAUAUCUGGAGGAACACCGGUGGCGAAGGCGGCGUUCUGGACUGUCUCUGACACUGAGGCGCGACAGCGUGGGGAGCAAACAGG